CGGUGUCCCUGUGGCGCCUGGAGAUGGGGUGGGUGCCUGGGCAGCUCGAGCCUUGCCGGGCCCCUGAGAUUUUUGUUGGGCGAGGCUGGAGAUAUGACCACUGUGAUUACUACGGUAUAGACGUCUGGGGCCGAGGGAUCCUGGUCACCGUCUCCUCAGCAAGUGAAUCUCACCCGAAAGUCUUCCCUCUGGUGUCCUGUGUGAGCUCCCCAUCUGACGAGAACACCGUGGCCCUGGGCUGCCUGGCCCAGGACUUCGUGCCCAAUUCUGUCAGCUUCUCCUGGAAAUUCAAGAACAACAGCACGGUCAGCAGUGAGAAAUUCUGGACCUUCCCCGAAGUCCUGAGGGACGGCUUGUGGUCGGCCUCCUCUCAGGUGGUCCUGCCCUCCUCAAGCAUCUUUCAAGAGCCGGAUGACUACCUGGUGUGUGAAGUCCAGCACCCCAAGGGAGGAAAGACCAUCAAGACCGUGAGGGUGACCGCAGCAAAGGUGGAAGUGUUGCCCCCCGUCGUGAGUGUCUUUGUCCCGCCUCGCAACAGCCUCUCUGGUAAUGGCAAUAGCAAGUCCAGCCUCAUCUGCCAGGCCACUGACUUCAGCCCCAAACAGAUCUCCUUGUCCUGGUUUCGUGAUGGCAGGCGAAUGGUGACUGGCAUUUCUGAAGGCCAGGUGGAGACUGUACAGUCCUCACCCGUAACAUUCAGGGCCUACAGCGUGCUGACCAUCACGGAGAGUGACUGGCUCAGCCAGAGCGUGUACACCUGCCAGGUGGAGCACAACAAGGAAACCUUCCAGAAGAAUGCGUCCUCUUCGUGUGAUGCUACACAAACAUCUCCCAUCGGGGUCUUCACCAUCCCCGCAUCCUUCGCCGACAUCUUCCUCACGAAGUCAGCCAAGCUUUCCUGCCUGGUCACAAACCUGGCCUCCUAUGACGGUCUGAACAUCACCUGGUCCCGCCAGAACGGCAAAGCCCUAGAGACCCACACCUAUUUUGAAAGACACCUCAACGACACCUUCAGCGCCAGGGGCGAGGCCUCCGUCUGCUCGGAGGACUGGGAGUCCGGAGAGGAGUUCACGUGCACGGUGGCCCACUUGGACCUGCCCUUUCCCGAAAAGCACACCAUCUCCAAGCCCAAAGAUGUCACCAUGAAGCCACCGUCCGUGUAUGUGCUGCCUCCAACGCGGGAACAGCUGAGCCUGCGGGAGUCAGCCUCCGUCACCUGCCUGGUGAAGGGCUUCGCACCUGCAGACGUGUUCGUGCAGUGGCUGCAGAAGGGGGAGCCCGUGACCAAGAGCAAGUACGUGACCAGCAGCCCAGCGCCCGAGCCCCAGGACCCCAGCGUGUACUUUGUGCACAGCAUCCUGACAGUGACCGAGGAGGACUGGAGCAAAGGGGAGACCUACACCUGCGUCGUGGGCCACGAGGCCCUGCCCCACAUGGUCACCGAGCGGACCGUGGACAAGUCCACCGAGGGGGAGGUGAGCGCCGAGGAGGAAGGCUUCGAGAACCUCAACACCAUGGCCUCCACCUUCAUCGUGCUCUUCCUCCUGAGCCUCUUCUACAGCACCACAGUCACCCUGUUCAAGGUGAAGUGAUGGUCAGCCAAGAACAUGGGGCACCAGAGACGGAACAAGAGGGGCUGCCUUGGAGCCGGGUCCCUGGCCUGUGUGGCUUGUCUGCUUGUACUGAAAUCUUCCCCGCGUCCUCUCCAGCUUCGAGCUGUAAGAAACUGGCUUUUCUCGGUGCAGCUGAUUGCCAUGGCCAAGCCUGGAGCCCGCAGUCAUAGGCUCCACCCGGCCCUGCUUUGCAAUGUUGCAUUUGUGGCCUUGAAAUAAACAAGUAUACUUUAUCUUAUGAAA